UCCGAGUUGACCCCGGCAGUCUCCCAUGAGUCCCCAACACCCGAAGGCUUGCUGGCAACAUGGGACGAGGGUUGCGCUCGUUGCGGGACUUAACCCAACAUCUCACGACACGAGCUGACGACAGCCAUGCACCACCUGUACACCCCCAAAAGAAGCCCCAUCUCUGAGGCGGCAGGGUGUAUGUCAAACCCAGGUAAGGUUCUUCGCGUUGCGUCGAAUUAAACCACAUGCUCCGCUGCUUGUGCGGGUCCCCGUCAAUUCCUUUGAGUUUUAGCCUUGCGGCCGUACUCCCCAGGCGGGGCACUUAAUGCGUUAGCGUCGGCACGGGAGGAGUCGACACCUCCCACACCUAGUGCCCAUCGUUUACGGCGUGGACUAC
rnacentral:misc_RNA from 1 species